AGCAUCAAAUGUUCCAAGACAGACUACAGGUUCUUCUUGCUUUGAAUCAUCUCCUCAUAGGUGUUAAAUGUGGAUGCCCAAGGAUGAGCCUCAAAAUGAAACAAGAAUCUCUGUAUGCCAUGACAUCGUUUCUGACACAUCUUCAGCUAUUGCUGGCAAAGGUGAAAACAAAAUGAAUGAUGCACCAUGUUAUCUUAUUGUUCACCAGAUAGCUACUGAGACAGCCUGGACACACGCUGGAGGAGAACUCAUUUAUGUGAUCUAGAGGGAAAAAAAGAAAAAAGAAUGUCAAUCAUAAAGUCUAUCGUAUUCUGUGGAAUACAUUAUGAAAAUAGUUCAGUUCCUGUAAGGAAGAACCCUGAAAACAAAUAAACUAGCAGCUAAGGAGUGUGCCUGGCAGGUACCAGCGAGUUAGAAGAGGGGAGUAAAUGGCUGCAAAAGGGAAGAGAGAACAGGAAGAGAACGAAUGGGUGUGAUGG